rnacentral:rRNA from 1 species
CUUGCACCUUUCAAGUGAGUGGCGAACGGGUGAGUAACACGUGGACAACCUGCCUCAAGGCUGGGGAUAACAUUUGGAAACAGAUGCUAAUACCGAAUAAAACUUAGUGUCGCAUGACACAAAGUUAAAAGGCGCUUCGGCGUCACCUAGAGAUGGAUCCGCGGUGCAUUAGUUAGUUGGUGGGGUAAAGGCCUACCAAGACAAUGAUGCAUAGCCGAGUUGAGAGACUGAUCGGCCACAUUGGGACUGAGACACGGCCCAAACUCCUACGGGAGGCUGCAGUAGGGAAUCUUCCACAAUGGGCGAAAGCCUGAUGGAGCAACGCCGCGUGUGUGAUGAAGGCUUUCGGGUCGUAAAGCACUGUUGUAUGGGAAGAACAGCUAGAAUAGGAAAUGAUUUUAGUUUGACGGUACCAUACCAGAAAGGGACGGCUAAAUACGUGCCAGCAGCCGCGGUAAUACGUAUGUCCCGAGCGUUAUCCGGAUUUAUUGGGCGUAAAGCGAGCGCAGACGGUUUAUUAAGUCUGAUGUGAAAGCCCGGAGCUCAACUCCGGAAUGGCAUUGGAAACUGGUUAACUUGAGUGCAGUAGAGGUAAGUGGAACUCCAUGUGUAGCGGUGGAAUGCGUAGAUAUAUGGAAGAACACCAGUGGCGAAGGCGGCUUACUGGACUGCAACUGACGUUGAGGCUCGAAAGUGUGGGUAGCAAACAGGAUUAGAUACCCUGGUAGUCCACACCGUAAACGAUGAACACUAGGUGUUAGGAGGUUUCCGCCUCUUAGUGCCGAAGCUAACGCAUUAAGUGUUCCGCCUGGGGAGUACGACCGCAAGGUUGAAACUCAAAGGAAUUGAC